ensembl:snRNA U6 U6 spliceosomal RNA
GUGCUCACUUCAUCAGCACACACACUAAAAUGGCAAUGGCACAGAGAAGAUUAGCACGGCCCCGUGCAAGGAUGAUAUGCACAUUCAUGAAGUGUUCCAUUUUUUG